rnacentral:rRNA from 1 species
AGAGUUUGAUCCUGGCUCAGAAUGAACGCUGGCGGCGUGCCUAACACAUGCAAGUCGGAUGUGCCGCAAGGUGCAUGGCAGACGGGUGAGUAACGCGUGGGGAAUCUACCUCUUUGUGGGGAAUAACGCUCCGAAAGGAGUGGUAAUACCGCAUGAGAUCCAUGGCUGGGAUGCUGUGGAUGAAACCUGGGGACCGCAAGGCCUGGGGCAAGGAGAGGAUCCUGCGUCUGAUUAGCUAGUUGGUGAGGUAAUGGCCCACCAAGGCGACGAUCAGUAGCCGGCCUGAGAGGGUGAUCGGCCACACUGGAACUGAGACACGGUCCAGACUCCUACGGGAGGCAGCAGUGGGGAAUUUUGCGCAAUGGACGAAAGCCUGACGCAGCAACGCCGCGUGGGUGAUGAAGGUCUUCGGA